rnacentral:rRNA from 1 species
UACAGAGGGUGCGAGCGUUGUUCGGAAUUACUGGGCGUAAAGCGCGCGCAGGCGGCCUUUUAAGUCUACCCGUGAAAUGCCGGAGCUCAACUCCGUGCACGCCGGGGGAUACUGGGAGGCUGGAGACAGGUAGAGGCAAGCGGAAUUCCGGGUGUAGCGGUGGAAUGCGUAGAUAUCCGGAAGAACACCUGAGGCGAAGGCAGCUCGCUGGGACGUUACUGACACUGAGGCGCGAAAGCGUGGGGAGCGAACAGG